UACAGAGGGUGCAAGCGUUGUUCGGAAUUAUUGGGCGUAAAGCGCGUUGUAGGCGGCUUUGCAAGUCGGGGUGUGAAAAGCCCUCAGCUCAACUGAGGAAGUGCGCCCGAAACUGCAGAGCUUGAGUGCCGGAGAGGGUGGCGGAAUUCCCCAAAGUAGAGGUGAAAUUUCGUAGAUAUGGGGGAGGAACACCGGUGGCGAAGGCGGCCACCUGGACGGUAACUGACGCUGAGACGCGAAAGCGUGGGGAGCAAACAGG
rnacentral:rRNA from 1 species